GCUCAUAUUUUAUGUAUAUUUAACUGGUCUAAUAUAUUAUAAUAAGGGCUUACAUUGUUAUUUUUCGCGUUAAUUGCCCUGAAAUACAGUUAAUGGUAGGACUCCCUGAUGCUAAAAUUUGCUAUCAGUUCUUUUUUUAUUCUUUCCUAUUUCAAUAAUGUUCCUAAUCCUCGUAUUACGUUGAGUGCAUCACCCUGCAAUUUAUUGAUUACUCGUCGCUGAAAUGCGUAUUCUUUGAACGCGGUGUUCUUGAAGAGUCACAGGGAUAUUUCGACUUCUCGUAUGAAAGACAUAAGGUCCUUGUCGUCAUUGUCUCUGAGUUCUUUUAUCCUGUUGGCUUCCUUGACCUUAGUUGCUUCUGUCAUGAUUUCGUCGUUGCCGUUGCUUUCGUCACUCAAUUUUAGUUAAGAAUUCUGGAGUUACUUUAACUUAAAAAAACUCUUUUUUUUUAUGACAAUUAGCUUUGUUUAGGAUCGCUCAGUUUAAGGCAUUUUUACUUCAAAAUUACAUUUUGAAGUCCCUUAGUCUUUGCCAGUUAUCACAGUCACUUCCCCCAUAUAUGUUAGCUGUGGAGUUGACGCAACAUCGUAUGUCGCGCGAAACAGUCGGGCUCGAAGUCGUGCCCAGUUAACGUAACCCCGACCGCCAGGCCAGGUAGCGAAAAGGCAGCACCUUCGACCACCCAGGCACAAACCGCAAAGCGGAAGAGCGGGCAAAUCACGCCGCAGGAGCCCCCUAGUUCUACAAGGCUGAAUGGCAACAGCACGAAGGCAGCCGGAGCCAACCCUCCGCACCAAAUCCCCCUGCGUGUAGGAGAGACGGCGCAUGGAAGAGGUAUUCAGAGACCGUGAAUAAGCAGCGUCCUUUCAUGGGGUCGACUUUAAAAGCGGAACGAGAGGUCCGCUGUCUGGGUACGGAAGAUUGCUCCCAAGUUGGAAGGCCUGGAGGGCCCCAUCUUCUGCGCAAAAAGAGGGGAAAACAUACCUAUCAUGCACAUCAUGACGAUGUAUCUCCACAAGUGCGCAGGAAAACCGUACGAGUUUGUUAUUGGUCUGACCAAAAAUCAGAACUUGGGCCUCAGCAGGGGUAAUAAACAGCAGGGUCGAGAAAAACGGAUGGAGACUGAAUCUUUCUAUCGACGACGAGUCGUACAAAUACGUCCGUGGACCAAGCGUCCACCUGAAUUAUAGGUACAACUCGGUGGUAUUGAGGCCUUAUAAACCUACAACGGCCACCGGGAGCAGAGAAGAUGCUUGUGGAUGAGAUUUCCACUCAACCUAGCGUUUGCACGGCGGAACAGGCUACGACUGUUGCGGCGUCGGAAUUCCCUGACAAGAGGAGUUGCGUUCAAGGAGGGAAGCUACCCUCCAAGCAGGAACGCAUCAAGGGGCUAGGGAACCCAAUUGAUGGCAGCGCGGAUGACAGCGGGGUGGGCAGCGGCUCCUUAUUAAACCGAUCCUGUAGUGGCCGUCAACGUGAAAAUUGCCCAAGUAAUCCUCCUGAUCCAAGAGGUUAGAGGCCUCAAGGUGAAUUCCAAUAAAGUAAUCUGGGAUCUUUUUAACGAGAGACCUAGAACUUGAGAAGUUGUGGGGAACAACAUUGACUCCUUUUGUAUUUCAGAGUUCCCGAAACAGGAUCUAACAUCAACCCAUUUUCCGGUAUAGGCAUCCACAGCACCUCCAGAGGCUGUGGAUAGGUUAGUGAGUUACUGAAUGCGACACAAGUUGCCCCUAAUUCUAAGAUGUGUUACGAACGUCAAUGCGUUGCGGACUGCAACACACGAGCGACUUAUUCGGCCGGUAUCUUGUCAGCAGUUGAGCUACUUUUUUUUUGGCACCUCGGAAGACAGCCCACCACUCUAUUAUUUCUCAACAUUAUCUUAGAAUAUAGCUGAAAAUAUACCUUAUUAUAUUCAAAGAAGUUCGAAAUAUUUAAUCAGAUGAAUCGUUGAACAAAGCAUUGGAAUCUUAAAAAAACGGUGGAGAAUUUUAGGAUAUAGCAAGGGAGGAAGGUAUCACUCCACAAAAGUGGAAGAUUUAUAAAUGUUUGUGAGGCAGAUGUUAUGCAUAAAAUAUACAAUAAGUUACGACCCUUAAAAAAGCGAUUCUUAACACACACAAAAAAUGGACAUGUGUAGCGCAUCGCCUCACCGCAAUCGACCAACCGAUAAGAAACCAUAUAAUGAAUUCUUUAAUAAAUUUAAUUCAAAAAUGUAUACGUCCUUAACUUUGUAAAUAAUUUUAUUUUUAA